rnacentral:rRNA from 1 species
CCUACGGGAGGCAGCAGUGGGGAAUAUUGCACAAUGGGGGAAACCCUGAUGCAGCGACGCCGCGUGAGCGAAGAAGUCUUUCUGUAUGUAAAGCUCUAUCAGCAGGGAAGAAAAUGUCGGUACCUGAGUACGACUCUCCGGCCAAAUCCGUGCCAGCAGCCGCGGGAAUACGGAUGGAGCAAGCGUUAUCCGGAUUUACUGGGCGUAAAGGGAGCGUAGGCGGCCUGCCAAGUCUGAUGUGAAAUACCGGGGCUCAACCCCGGGUCUGCAUUGGAAACUGGCAGGCUGGAGUGCAGGAGAGGCAGGCGGAAUUCCUAGUGUAGCGGUGAAAUGCGUAGAUAUUAGGAGGAACACCAGUGGCGAAGGCGGCCUGCUGGACGGUGACUGACGCUGAGGCUCGAAAGCGUGGGGAGCAAACAGGAUUAGAUACCCCUGUAGUC